rnacentral:rRNA from 1 species
GGGGUCCGACUAAGCCAUGCGAGUCAUGGGGCGCCUCGCGCGCACCGGCGGACGGCUCAGUAACACGUCGGUAACCUACCCUCGGGAGGGGGAUAACCCCGGGAAACUGGGGCUAAUCCCCCAUAGGUCUGAGGUACUGGAAGGUCCUCAGGCCGAAAGGGACUCUGUCCGCCCGAGGAUGGGCCGGCGGCCGAUUAGGUAGUUGGUGGGGUAACGGCCCACCAAGCCUAAGAUCGGUACGGGCCAUGAGAGUGGGAGCCCGGAGAUGGACACUGAGACAAGGGUCCAGGCCCUACGGGGCGCAGCAGGCGCGAAACCUCCGCAAUGCGGGAAACCGCGACGGGGGGACCCCCAGUGCCGUGGCAUCGCCACGGCUUUUCCGGAGUGUAAGGAGCUCCGGGAAUAAGGGCUGGGCAAGGCCGGUGGCAGCCGCCGCGGUAAUACCGGCGGCCCGAGUGGUGGCCACUAUUAUUGGGCCUAAAGCGUCCGUAGCCGGGCCCGUAAGUCCCUGGCGAAAUCUCACGGCUCAACCGUGGGGCUCGCUGGGGAUACUGCGGGCCUUGGGACCGGGAGAGGCGGAGGGUACCCCUGGGGUAGGGGUGAAAUCCUAUAAUCCCAGGGGGACCGCCAGUGGCGAAGGCGCUCCGCUGGAACGGGUCCGACGGUGAGGGACGAAGGCCAGGGGAGCAAACCGGAUUAGAUACCCGGGUAGUCCUGGCUGUAAAGGAUGCGGGCUAGGUGUCGGGUGAGCUUCGGGCUCGCCCGGUGCCGGAGGGAAGCCGUUAAGCCCGCCGCCUGGGGAGUACGGCCGCAAGGCUGAAACUUAAAGGAAUUGGCGGGGGAGCACCACAAGGGGUGGAGCGUGCGGUUUAAUUGGAUUCAACGCCGGGAACCUCACCGGGGGCGACGGCAGGAUGAAGGCCAGGCUGAAGGUCUUGCCGGACACGCCGAGAGGAGGUGCAUGGCCGCCGUCAGCUCGUACCGUGAGGCGUCCACUUAAGUGUGGUAACGAGCGAGACCCGCGCCCCCAGUUGCCAGUCCUCCCCGCUGGGGAGGAGGCACUCUGGGGGGACCGCCGGCGAUAAGCCGGAGGAAGGAGCGGGCGACGGUAGGUCAGUAUGCCCCGAAACCCCCGGGCUACACGCGCGCUACAAUGGGCGGGACAAUGGGAUCCGACCCCGAAAGGGGAAGGGAAUCCCCUAAACCCGCCCCCAGUUCGGAUUGCGGGCUGCAACUCGCCCGCAUGAAGCUGGAAUCCCUAGUACCCGCGUGUCAUCAUCGCGCGGCGAAUACGUCCCUGCUCCUUGCACACACCGCCCGUCACUCCACCCGAGCGGGGUCCGGGUGAGGCUUGGUCUCCCUUCGGGGAGGCCGGGUCGAGCCCGGGCUCC